UAGCAAAGACCGUGGUUUUAUUAUAACCGAACAAUGAUUUCUAAUGUAACUAUAAAUUUCAUCGUAACAUCAUAAUCUUUAUUAACCACUUUAAUCACCAUAUUUCAUUAAUCUUCUUGUGAUUUUCAAUGUAACAGUGUUUUUCAAGGUAAAAUGACAAUCCGAACAAUGGAAAACGGUAAACUUUAGCUCUUUUUAAAUUUUUAUAUUUUUUCGUGUAGAGGAAAAUUUGGGCGCCAUGUUUUGCAUUUCUUGCGGUCGGAACCGGGUUAUUCCGGACAAUUUAUGAUUUACUGGAAAUAAAGGUGAAAGAUUGGGAUCGGAAAGCGGCGGCACGGAUUAUGGUGAUAGCGAUGCAGAUGGAGAGAGCAGAGUGUCGCAGAGGUAGUUUCAGCAGCUUCAGCCGUGGGCGCAUGCAAUUGCACAACCCGUGCGAAUAUAUUCGCACAUCCUGUGGUUAGAAUGUGCGCCAGGUCCGUCUCCCGAUAAUGGUUGCGCAGGAUGUAGCCAGCCGGUGCAGGUGAUGAAAAAACAAUCAAAUUAGUGCCAAUUAAGUGUGAAAUUUUACACCAAGUUUCAUAGUGAAUUUUUUUUUCUAAAAAACCCGUAUUUACAACCGGAAUGUGUGAAUCAAGUGUUGAUAAUAAAUGAUAAAUGAAAUAAA